rnacentral:rRNA from 1 species
UUUCCGUAGGUGAACCUGCGGUUGGAUCAUUG